rnacentral:misc_RNA from 1 species
GAUGAAGAACGCAGUGAAAUGCGAUACGUAAUGUGAAUUGCAGAAUUCAGUGAAUCAUCGAGUCUUUGAACGCACAUUGCGCCCCCUGGUAUUCCGGGGGGCAUGCCUGUCCGAGCGUCAUUGCUGCCCUCAAGCACGGCUUGUGUGUUGGGCCUCCGUCCUCCUCCCGGGGGGCGGGCCCGAAAGGCAGCGGCGGCACCGCGUCCGGUCCUCGAGCGUAUGGGGCUUCGUCACCCGCUCUUGUAGGCCCGGCCGGCGCUUGCCGACACAUCAAUCUUUUUUCCAGGUUGACCUCGGAUCAGGUAGGGAUACCCGCUGAACUUAAGCAUAUCAAUAAGCGGAGGA